GACAGAGGUGCCGAGCGUUAGGCGGAAUCACUGGGCUUAAAGCGUGUGUAGGCGGGCCGUUAAGUGUCUUGUGAAAUCCCCCGGCUCAACCGGGGAAUUGCUGGGCAUACUGGCGGUCUUGAGCAGUCUAGGGGCAGAUGGAACAAGUGGUGGAGCGGUGAAAUGCGUAGAUAUCACUUGGAACGCCAAAGGUGAAGACAGUCUGCUGGGGACUUGCUGACGCUGAGAUACGAAAGCCAGGGGAGCGAACGGG
rnacentral:rRNA from 1 species